rnacentral:rRNA from 1 species
AUACGGAGGGUGCAAGCGUUGUCCGGAUUUACUGGGUUUAAAGGGUCCGUAGGCGGGUCUUUAAGUCAGUGGUGAAAUCCUACGGCUCAACCGUAGAACUGCCAUUGAUACUGAAGAUCUUGAGUAUAGUUGAGGUAGGCGGAAUUUAUGAUGUAGCGGUGAAAUGCAUAGAUAUCAUAAAGAACACCAAUUGCGAAGGCAGCUUACUAAACUAUUACUGACGCUCAGGGACGAAAGCGUGGGGAGCGAACAGGAUUAGAUACCCCAGUAGUCC